CGAGCUGCAGGACGUCAGCUUUGCUGAGCCCAGCUCACUUCUGGCUGCGGGCUAGCAGGGCUCAGUGCCUGGGUGCGGCUGGAGGGGUGGGAGCACACCGGAGACGUGUUUGCCCUGAGAAUGGGUUACUGGUUAACCAGUGUGCUAGCCUUGAGGAUGCUGCUGGCCGAAAGGAUGUGGAUUGACUGACCCGCUGGAGGCUGUCUCGUCUUCUGUGGCGAUCACGCGGGCGCUGACAGCAGCCCAGCACGGCAGGGUUCGCUGACAACAGAGCAAGCUCCUAAGACUCUCUGGAGAUGGCAUCCUAGACCCCAAGCACACCAGGAGAUUUCUCCGGACAGCUAGGAGCUGUAUGACACUGCAAUUUGGAGA